UGCGGGAGGUGGGGGAGAGGAGCUCGUUUUCACCUAGGGAAGACGAAUGACAGCCAUAGAAGAAGAGGCAUCAUCCUGUCUCUAAAUGGCAGGAGGACUUUGUAUAAGCCUUCCAGACAAUGGAAGCCAUGUGGGCGAAGACUCAGGUCACCCAAAGAACACCCUAUUGUCUGAAGGGGCUGCUUCUGUUGUGGCUGGAAUCAAAGACUGGGACAACGACAUCUCUGCUUUAACAAGUUCAUGUAAAGAACCACGUACCAUCCAAAGGCCCGGGGAAGAAAUUACAGGUAAAGAACAAGCCCAAGGGUCUCACUAUGUAGCCCUGUCCAUCCUGGAACUUGCUACAUAAACAUAAAAGACUGGCUUCAAACUCACAGAGAUUCACCUGACUGCCUCCAAACUGCUGGGAUUAGAGGCGUGUCCCCCAACAUGCCUGCUGAUAAAUUCGUCAGAAAGUAUAUCCUAAAGUGAACCAUUCAUCUCACCUGCUAUGCAAGACUUCAACUGCUCAAGUCUGGCCACUGUGAUCCAGAGCCUCCUCAUGGCUGCCUGAGGAAGACAAUCGCCUCCUGUUUGCCUUUGGAACAAGACGUAGAACUUGCAGCUCCUCCAGCACCAUGUCUGACUGCACAGUGCCCUGCUUCCUGCCAUGAUGAUAAUGGACUGAACUUCUGAAACUGUAAGCCAGCACCAAUGAAAUGUUUUUUCUUUAUAAGAAUUGCCUUAGCUGGGCGUGGUAGCACACGCCUUUAAUCCCAGCACUUGGGAGGCAGAGG
rnacentral:lncRNA from 1 species